rnacentral:rRNA from 1 species
AGAUUGAACGCUGGCGGAAUGCUUUACACACGCAAGUCGAACGGCAGCACGGGGGCAACCCUGGUGGCGAGUGGCGAACGGGUGAGUAAUACAUCGGAACGUGCCCAGUCGUGGGGGAUAACUACGCGAAAGCGUAGCUAAUACCGCAUACGAACUCUGGUUGAAAGCGGGGGACUCGCAAGAGCCUCGCGCGACUGGAGCGGCCGAUGGCAGAUUAGGUAGUUGGUGGGGUAAAGCUCACCAAGCCGACGAUCUGUAGCUGGUCUGAGAGGACGACCAGCCACACUGGGACUGAGACACGGCCCAGACUCCUACGGGAGGCAGCAGUGGGAAUUUUGGACAAUGGGCGCAAGCCUGAUCCAGCCAUUCCGCGUGCAGGAUGAACGGCCCUCGGUUGUAAACUGCUUUUGUAACGGUAACGAAAAGCGACUGAGUUAAUACCUCGGCGUUCAUGAACGGUACCGUAAGAAUAAGCAACCGGCUAAACUACGUGCCAGCAGCCGACGUUAACG